AGUGAACGCUGGCGGUAGGCCUAACACAUGCAAGUCGAACGGCAGCACAGUAAGAGCUUGCUCUUACGGGUGGCGAGUGGCGGACGGGUGAGGAAUACAUCGGAAUCUACUUUUUCGUGGGGGAUAACGUAGGGAAACUUACGCUAAUACCGCAUACGACCUACGGGUGAAAGCAGGGGAUCUUCGGACCUUGCGCGAUUGAAUGAGCCGAUGUCGGAUUAGCUAGUUGGCGGGGUAAAGCCCCACCAAGGCGACGAUCCGUAGCUGGUCUGAGAGGAUGAGGAGCAAGAAGUGGAGUGAGACACGGUCCGGACGCCUACGUGAGGCAGCAGUGGGGAAGAUUGGACACUGGGCGAAAGAUAUAUAGAGCCAUGCAGGGAAAGGGAAGAAGGUCUGCGGGCUCUAAAGCACUAUAAGGUGGAAUGAAAGGCAGUAAGGUAAUACCUUGAAGUUAUGACGUGACGAACAGAAUAGACACAGGCAAACUUGAUG
rnacentral:rRNA from 1 species